UCUUUGUUUAUGACUUUCAGUAUGACUUUUGUUCUUCUGAAUCUGCUGAGGCCAGUUUUUCUGCCCUAAGAAGA
ensembl:snoRNA